rnacentral:lncRNA from 1 species
GCCCUUCAGUGGUGAACAAUCCAGGCAGCGAUUGCUGCCUCAUGGAGCUUAUAUUCUUCUAUAGGGGGCAGACAAUAUAUAAAGUAAAUAAAUAGUAUAUAAAAUGGCAAUGAUUCCUAAGGGAAAAAGAGCAUGGAAAAGAGAUAAGAGUUGGAGGUGGGGGUUCAUGAUAGAUAUAGGGGCCAGGGAAAACCUUGGUAAGAAGUCAGCAUUUGGGAUCCCUGGGUGGCUCAGCGGUUUGGCGCCUGCCUUUGGCCCAUGAUAUGAUCCCAGAGUCCCAAGACUGAUUCCCAAGACUGAGUCCCACAUCGGGCUCCCCACAUGGAGCCUGCUUCUCCCUCUCUCUCUGUCUCUGCCUCUCUCUGUCUGGGUCUCUGUGUCUCUCAUGAAUAAAUAAAUAAAAUAUUAAAAAAAAUAGAAGUAGACAUCUGAGGAAAGACUUGAAAGAAGCGAAGGAGUAAACCACAUGGAUAUUUGGGUAAGAAAAUAUGAACAAAUCUUUUAAGAUUUUAUUUUUUUAUUCAUGGAAAACACACAAACACACACACACACACACAGAGACAGAGAGAGAGAGAGAGAAAGAGAGACAGAAAGACAGAGGCAGAGAGACAGGUAGAGGGAGAAGCAGGGUCCAUGCAGGGAGCACCACAUGGGACUGGAUCCUGGGUCUCCAGGAUCACACCCUGGGCCGAAGGCGGCGCUAAACCACUGAGCCACCCGGGCUGCCCUUGAACAAAUCUUUAAGAGUAAAGAGAUUGAAUCCAUUAAAAAAAAUUCCCCAGUGAAUGAAAAUACAUGACAGAAAAGCUUCACUGGAGAAUUCUACCAAAUAUUUUUCCAGACACAGAAGUAGACCAGCACCCAGCAGGCCAGCAGACACAGGGUCACCUCCCAGUUGAGGGCCCCCGGCACCUCCAGGCCCCCGGAGAGCCGCAAGACUUUGUUCCUGGGGGAGGGAGGGUCCAUGAGGGGUGCAGGCAGCGGGCAGUGAGGCUGGGGGCAGCCCCGGGGGCGGUGCGCCCCGUCCAGCCCCCCUCCCUCCCACGCGUGGGGCACGGAGGUGCUGCAGGGUGUGAGCCUGAAGCCCGAGUGUCCCGGGCCCGAGGCCGUAGGGCUGGGAGCCCGGCCCCGUGGCACCCACAGCACCCACAGCACCCAUAGCAUCCACAUCGUGCCCGCGAGCCACCCCCUCCCAGGCUGGCGGGCACGAUGGAGUGACAAUGCCUGGGACUGAGACUGAAGGAAGCAGGUCCAC